ACGGUUCAGUAACACGUCGGUAACCUACCCUCGGGAGGGGGAUAACCCCGGGAAACUGGGGCUAAUUCCCCAUAGGCUGAGGUACUGGAAGGUCCUCAGGCCGAAAGGGACUUAUGUCCGCCCGAGGAUGGGCCGGCGGCCGAUUAGGUAGUUGGUGGGGUAAUGGCCCACCAAGCCGAAGAUCGGUACGGGCUGUGAGAGCAGGAGCCCGGAGAUGGACACUGAGACACGGGUCCAGGCCCUACGGGGCGCAGCAGGCGCGAAACCUCCGCAAUGCGGGAAACCGCGACGGGGGGACCCCGAGUGCCGUGGCAACGCCACGGCUUUUCCGGAGUGUAAAAAGCUCCGGGAAUAAGGGCUGGGCAAGGCCGGUGGCAGCCGCCGCGGUAAUACCGGCGGCCCGAGUGGUGGCCGCUAUUAUUGGGCCUAAAGCGUCCGUAGCCGGGCCCGUAAGUCCCUGGCGAAAUCCCACGGCUCAACCGUGGGGCUUGCUGGGGAUACUGCGGGUCUUGGGACCGGGAGAGGCGGGGGGUACCCCUGGGGUAGGGGUGAAAUCCUAUAAUCCCAGGGGGACCGCCAGUGGCGAAGGCGCCCCGCUGGAACGGGUCCGACGGUGAGGGACGAAGGCCAGGGGAGCAAACCGGAUUAGAUACCCGGGUAGUCCUGGCUGUAAAGGAUGCGGGCUAGGUGUCGGGUGAGCCUCGAGCUCGCCCGGUGCCGUAGGGAAGCCGUUAAGCCCGCCGCCUGGGGAGUACGGCCGCAAGGCUGAAACUUAAAGGAAUUGGCGGGGGAG
rnacentral:rRNA from 1 species